rnacentral:rRNA from 1 species
UAGGGAAUCUUCCGCAAUGGGCGAAAGCCUGACGGAGCAACGCCGCGUGAGUGAUGAAGGUCUUCGGAUCGUAAAACUCUGUUAUUAGGGAAGAACAAAUGUGUAAGUAACUAUGCACGUCUUGACGGUACCUAAUCAGAAAGCCACGGCUAACUACGUGCCAGCAGCCGCGGUAAUACGUAGGUGGCAAGCGUUAUCCGGAAUUAUUGGGCGUAAAGCGCGCGUAGGCGGUUUUUUAAGUCUGAUGUGAAAGCCCACGGCUCAACCGUGGAGGGUCAUUGGAAACUGGAAAACUUGAGUGCAGAAGAGGAAAGUGGAAUUCCAUGUGUAGCGGUGAAAUGCGCAGAGAUAUGGAGGAACACCAGUGGCGAAGGCGACUUUCUGGUCUGUAACUGACGCUGAUGUGCGAAAGCGUGGGGGUCAAACAGGAUUAGAUACCCUGGUAGUCCACGCCGUAAACGAUGAGUGCUAAGUGUUAGGGGGUUUCCGCCCCUUAGUGCUGCAGCUAACGCAUUAAGCACUCCGCCUGGGGAGUACGACCGCAAGGUUG